rnacentral:lncRNA from 1 species
CAGCCUGAGCUUGUCGAUAUGCCAUUAGGGUGUCGGUAAGUAUUUUUUCAUUUUAAGUUUUCUAUAUACUAAUUUUUCAUAACUAAUAUGAUAUAAAUGAAUCAGGUGGAACACUAUAUUAGCAUUUCGGGACAAUAUCAGGACUACUGAUAUUGAGUUUUAUCGUGAUCAGCUGGAUCAGCAGUUAGAGUCUCAGGUAUAUACAAGUUACUCAAUCUGUCGAAUUUUGUAUUCAAUAAUGUAAUUUAUCAGUAUCUUCCCAUUAGGAACACUUAGUUGCAUGUCAAGUUUUACUCUAGCUGCAUGCCUCAGGCCAAUGUAUAGAACAUACCAAAACCCAAUAAAAAACAUCUCCUUUGCAACAUGAAGAUAUAAAUGGUGUGUAUCCAACAAAUAAAAAGCUAUAACACUAAUAAGUGUGUUCAAGUACACAAACAAACCAUCCCAAUGUAAUGUAAGGAUGAAUGAAUAACGCGUGUAUAGAAGCUAGGCUACUAUACUAUCUAUACUAUAUAUAGAGCUAGGCUACUAUAUAGAAGAAUCUAACUUUCUUCAAAUUUUGAUAGAAAAUACUUUAAACUAUAUAGAUUAAGAUUAACAUUCUUGAUCUUCAAUUUAAAAGUCCUAUGCUCAAAUUUUAAAGAUUAUUCAAUUUUCACCGUCUAUUUUCACAAUAGUUCAUUUUUUAACCCACUGAGAUCAAUAUAGUUUAAUUUUGAUAGCUAAUCAUAUGUAUUUUUCACAAUAGAUUAUAUGGAGGCCUUAUGACGACGCAGUGUUAGAGACGCUCCCACCUUUUUGUCUAGCGGGGUCCCAGGUUUGGCGAUCGAGGACUACCUUAGUCUGCUUCCACAUUAUUGAGCUCCAUCAUCCCGAUCGUGUGCUUCGCCAGUUUGGGCUACUACAGUAUAUACCUGAACCUGUGCUUGCCAUACCUCGCAUCAAUUCACAAGGCAGAGCAGAUGAGGAUUGGGCGGCAUACCACGCCUCAUACAUUGAGCGUUGGAAUGAUAGAUUAGUAGAUAUAGCAGAGGUGGCCCCUAAGACAGAUCCAGAUCCGAUACGAGCUACCACUGUUUACAUGCAGUGGUAUUGGACGAUCACCAGGAGGUGGAUAUCUAGACCUGUACAGCGGCCACCACUCGCCUAUCAGCCACGUGGAAUUAUUCCGACGGUGCUUCGUGAGCUAUUGUGUAGUCGCUGAGCCUUGUUGGCUCGUCACUCGCGUCAUUUCGAGAGUUCAGAAAUGACGGGUGAGCGACGGUGGGUUCCGGUGUCGAAAUAGACAUUUCCGGGAACCCGGAUCCCAACAAUUAUCCACCAAUAGUUGUUUGGUUGUGUAUCCUUGUGUUUGCUGCCAUGUCACACUAAAAUAAGUGUUUAGUGGCAGCGAAUGACUCGUGGCAUGAGUCGGUGCCUUCCGGGAUAGUUAGUGGGUCCCGGCGGAGUCCCGGUGCGAUUUUCGGGACUUCCGGCGAGUUACGGUAAUCGGUAUUAGGAAACCGAUUUCUGUGGGAUUGUUUGUGGGUUAUGCUUUUAGGGUUUCUUAGCUGUGGGUUAGACACUAACCCAGUGGACCCUCCUUAGGUCCGGUUGACAUUCUUUUGCAGUCAGGAGACAAGCGCGACAGUUGUACAGGUGGGUACUUCGAUCCGAUGUUGGUACAGUGGUGCACGCUCGGUGAUGGUUUCUUACCCUUGCUCUUUUGUUAUUAUCCAUGCUUAUAUUAUAUGUUGAGCUUUGCACCUCUAUUGUUUACAUUACACCCACGUUGUUUGAUUAUACUCUACUCAGAUGUUUCCAUGCUUAGUAUCAUGUGUAGGAGUAUAGUCUAUCUGUAUGUGAUACCAUGUUUCCUUGUUGCUCUACUUAGCUAUAUUCUGCAUACCCUGUUUCAUAUUUAUAGUAGAGCGAUUUCGUGAUUAUCUGUGAGAUUAGCGAUCUAGUCGGUCGAUUCUAGUAUUCAGUAUUUGUGACCUAUUCGGUGAGUUCCUCGACCUUUGUUGUCUGAUGACCGUUGAGGUCGGUAUACCCUGAGGGGUGGGAUUGUCGGUUAGUCGCCGACGGAUGAUUAUACUUUACUCAUAUCCUAUACUUGUGACAUGAUUGGUCGAGUUUCAUAUCCUAUACUUGUGACGUGAUUGGUCGAGUUUCAUAUUCUAUACUUGUAUCAUGAUUGGUCGAGUUUCAUAUCCUGUACUUGUGACAUGAUUGGUCGAGUUUCAUUUCCUGUACUUGUGACGUGAUUGGUCGAGUUUCAUAUCCUGUACUUGUGACAUGAUUGGUCGAGUUUCUUAUCCUGUACUUGUGACGUGAUUGGUCGAGUUUCAUAUCCUAGUUGAUCUGAGUGGUCAGUCCUUGUGGUUCAUUGAGCAGUAUUUGCAUAUGUUUGAGAGGAUGUCGAUGUUGUCCCAUCCUAAUUGACCUGAGUGGUCGGUUCUUGUUCUUCUUUACAGUUGACGACCUAUGCGGUCGAUGGGCCCUGGGGGGCAGGAUUGUCGGCUGGUUGCCGACGGUUGAUCAUUGAGCAUAUUGCAUUGAUCGCCCGAUACUCGUCGCAUUUCACGAACACUGGCGGUCUGAUCCACCGCAAGGAGUGUUCUUUUCCGGAAAAGUGGUUGAAUGGUCACAACCCGUGAGCCCUAGAGGGGUUACAUGCACUGGAGAGUAGUAGUGGCACUGGCUUGAGGUCUGCGGUGCUGACCAAGAGAGCAUUGGUUCCAGAUUGGGUACUUUUGGACUUCUUGACCGGUUGACGCAUAUGUCUAUAGUAGCAGUCAUUGCAUGCAUACUUACAGUUCUUCCUUUAUAGUUGUCUUGCUGCUAUAGUAGAUAUUCAUGUAUGCUUUCGGUUCCAGUUACAGUAGCGGUAGCCGUUAUUCAGUCUAGUUCUUACUUUCUUUCAGUUUAUUGCUACUGUACUUAGUAUAUCUGCUCAUUAUCUUAUACAUCUCUUUUGUUUACUAUUGUUCCUACUGUAUUUCCAAUGACCCGUGUUGUUGUAUAGCUCUUCCUGAUCCGGUGAGUACUCCUCGCCUUCUUCGGCUUGCGGUACCCACUGGGAGGGGAGACAUGUUUACAUGUUCUCACCUCCCCCACUAUUUUUCAGGUAUCGCGGGCGGUGAGGGUUUGAGACGAGACGUGAGACACGUACGUAGCGGUCGAUAGAUCUUUCGACCCAGGUUGUUCGGUUUAGCUCUUACCCUUUUUAUUUCUGUUGAUAUAUAGCUUAGAUAGUUUAUAUGGUUCAGUAUUUUUAUUACAUUUGAAUAUGUGGAUUUUCAUGAAUGUAAUAAAAGGAUUUCUGGAAUUUGUAAAAUAAAAGGUUUUCUACCCCUCGUGGUAGCGUUUUUAAAGAAUAAAGGUUUCCGUGUAGGAAACAGUUUUCAAAAGGAUUUUUCGUGGAUUUCUGUUUAAACAUUGAAUGUAAAACUGUGAUGUGAAUGGUGAAUGUAUGAAUGUAUAGUUAUCUUUAUAUUCAUCUAGUUGUGGUUGUAUCCUGGUUGUAUUCUUGUACUUGUGCGACGCCGUGCAAAUACAGGGGAGACUCUGUCCGUGUGAACAGUGGAUUCCCUGUAUUUGUGGCGGAUCUGGCAUACUCUGGGGUCAGGUUUUCAAAAAAAAAAAUUUAGACGCUUUUCCGCUAUCUCUUAAACUGAAAGGGACCCCAGGGCGUGACAGAUUAAAGUGGUAUCAGAGAGAUGUUACAACCACAACACCAUUCACAGGUUGUUUUGAAAAGUAAAUGAACUGAACCAAAUAAACUGAACCAUUGGUUAGGUUGACCAAUAGGAAGACUACGGUGUAUAGGUAAGUGAGUGCGGGGUUUGGGCUUGUGUCCCGGUGUGCAUUCGAGUUUGUUAAACUCGAAGUGCAUGGUUUCUGUAAGUGUUACGGUUCGCACAAGCUGGUGUCUAAGUCGGGAGUAGUGGCGGUGUACUUAUUCGGACAUCGAGUGGUGGGGCGACGUUCCUCAGGUGUUACCACUCCUGUCAGGUGGGGCCUUGAAGGGCCAAGUGAGACUUUCGGGCCUAAGCGAGUGUCAUAACUGCCGACGCUGGGCCACUCUCUCUACUUAGGACACGAGAGCUACGGCGAAUGUCUCUACGGAGAUGGUGCUUAGACCAGUUACGGUCGCGACUUCAGUAGGGCUACUAGGGUGUAGCCCAGGGUUUGGAUAGCGGUCGUUUCGGCGACUGCAUUAUUAGUGUUGCUUCCUCAGACCUUUGGGUAGGGUUGCGACGCCUACCUCUCCUCCUUGAUUGCUGAUUGAAAUCAGCGGUUGAAUCUUUUGACCUUUACCUCGUUCAUUCUUCCUACCAGAAUCGAAUUGACACAGUUUUGGUGUCAGGUCCCUGUGAUACUUACAUCGUAUGCGAUUGUUCUAACACCUAAAUUGGUGUCAGGGGAUAGUAGAUGGUUUAGUAGGAUCCGUCUUGAUUCGAGAGACUCCAGGUUAUUGUCGGAAUUCUUGGAACUUUGAUUAUAGCUCGGUGAGGUGCGAAAAUCGGUUUGAGAAACCGUUUUUUAAAGCCUCAGUUUGUACAGUUCGCGGCUUAGUGUCGCUAGCAACUUUCGGAUGUUGAAAGUAUAGGACUCCCUGUGAGUCGGUUCAGGGUCGUUCUGAUUUCGAAUGUCGACUUGUAAAGUCGAUGUUUCGAUAGUAAGGGUUGUGAACUCGUGGUUCAAUGAAGAGGUAUCAGGUGGCUUGAUACUUCGACGUGUCACACUUCCAACUUGUUGUUAGUAGUAGAUCUUCAGAUAUUUCGCUUUUUUUUGAUAAGUAUAUUGGCUGCAGACAAUGUACUGUCGAAAGAUAGGACGAAAUACCCUUUUCCCUGUUUGGGACUUUUGGAUUGGGUCGGUGUUUUCCCUAGUUGUUUAUGAGAACGCUUGAGUCUCUGACCUUGUGGCGAACCUUGGAUUAUUCCUUGGCAGGUUUUUGUACAGUUGACUUAUCAUCACUUCUGAUGGUUUUGACUUUGGUCCGAGUCUAGGUUAUCGUUGGUCCUAUUGUUGUGCCUUCCACAGCUAAGAGUUUCUUGGGUAGUAGUCUUGGUUUGUUGUCGCGACGUUCAGAAUCACAAUUGUGGAGUGACUUGAGCAUGGUUGUUGGCUUUGAUUGUCACCGUAUGUGAUAGCGUAUAAGGUUUGCGGCUCGGCUUUUCGUGCAAACCUUGGAAUGUUAUGCUUGUCCGAUUAUUUGGUGACAGGUGCGCCAGGGUCUUAAUGAGACAGGCAUUUGGUAUUGCUCGGAACAUCGAUCGCUAGGGUCCAUGGUAGGACGACAGCGACAGGGUCUUGUGAAGACAGGUGUUGGGUAUCACCGAUGGUUGGUAUCGCAUGGUGCGAUUGGCUAUCCUGUGCAUCAAGUAAUGGACUUGCAUGGUGGGUAUGUUGGUGGUCUAUUGGUACCGGAUUAAGUUUGAGGGGACAUUAUGGUCUAGCCCAAUUGGUUUUGUCAGUUGGAUCUUUUGGUCAAGUGGAAUGUGAGGCCUUGGACCUAGGACUAUAGAUUGUCGCAGGUGACUUUACAUUGAUGAGGUUUGGCAGUUUGUGUGGUUACUCGUGUAGACUGUGGUCUCCGAUGUGAGUGAUUUUGACUCGGAUUUUAGAACAACAUUUCGUUUUCGCUCAUGGUGAGCAGGUUGACGUUGUUGAAUAGUCGGAGUUUUUCGUUUCUGUCUACGUAAAUAGACUCCAGAUUAAAAUGGUUGUCUCGUGACUUUUCUACGUGAACUUGCGACGUAGUCGAGUCGGUUACGGCUAUGCGGACUAAGGUAGAACGGACCUAAAUUUCUGAAUGUUGAUUAAUUAUCUCAGAAUUGGCAAAUUGGGAUCGAAUAAUCCUAGUCGCGGGACUGUCUUUGUCCGCAGGUUAUAGGAUAGUGUUGAUCCCGGUGAGUUUUGGUCCGUAGAUUUUGGGUUAGUACGUUUUCCCUCGAUUUGUCCAGGUGGAACCGCAGUCCUAUUUUUUCCCCUUUCUACGGAAGUUGAUAUAUCCAGAUGUAAUUGACCAGUACUCAAGGGUGAUAUUACAGUGGUGGAGUAAUAUCCGAAUUCGAUUUCGGUGGGUAUGUGGUCAAGUUUCGGGGACGAAACUUCUUUUAAGGGGGGGAUAAUGUAAGGACUGAGUUUUUUACAGUGCAACUAAACUCUCUGUUGAUGAUGUUUAUGUGUGUAAUUUAAUUACAUAAGCACUCGUCAAGUUUCAGGAGAAAAUGAGCUAAAAUGGAGAAGUUACGCGAUUAUUAGUUUUCACUUAAGUGAAUAGUAACUCCGGUUUUCCGGAGAAGCCACGGAGUAGAGUUGGCUUUCGGCGCGUAUCGGACUCCGUUCAUAGCGAUCCAAUAGCUCGUUUUGAACGGUUCAGCUAUUCUGGAACCAAUGGCACUGACGGAUUUUAGAUCUGAUGCACGGUUUUCGAGAAAAUCUGAAAAUACAUGUUUCUUAUGUAAUUGUGCAUCAUUUUGGCCUUUUGGAGAGAGAUUGGAUUUCGUCGUGAAUCGGAGAUCAAAUCGGACGAAACGAAAUGCUAGAUUCGAUGCCUCGACGUGCUGAACGCGUUGGCGUGAUCCGAUCGGAAAUCCGAUGGACGGAUCUUUGGGAAUUGCAAUAAGUUCGCUAAGGGGUCGAGAGUGGAAAAUCGGGAAAUUCGCCAAAGUCGUAAUAUUUUAUGUACCGAAUCGCGCGAGAUCGAUUGUGGAGGUGCAAAAGCGCGAGAGUUACCCAUUGUGAAGGACUAGGGUUGAAAUUUGUAGUUCGGUGGACUUUUGUGCAAAAUUGCACUUUGUAUACAAUGUGCAUCUAGGGUUUCUAUGCACGAAACCCUAGAUCUACUCAACCCAGCGCCCAGCUGUGCCCUAGCCGCCAUCUGCAGGUCCAUGCCCUAGCAGGGCGCGCGCCCCGGCCGCCGGCGAGCUUCCCCGGCCGCCGAAAACCAGGAUCGGCCUCUCCUCUACCAUCAUCUCCACCUAG